rnacentral:lncRNA from 1 species
CUGGGUUACUUCAGUCCCCCUUCCUCAAAAGAAUUCACCCUCGAAUUUGGUAGCUUGUCAUCAAACGUAUGACCUCGAUAGACAAUGAGAUGCUUGAUAUUAAAAAAUAUCUGAAGUGCGAAUAUGGUUAGGAAGCGUCAAUUUGUAAGCAUUGUCAUUAAUCUUCAGCACCACUUCACACGGUCCAAUCUUGCAUUAGUUUAACUUAUGAUGUUUAGAACAACUUGGUCUAGAA